GGAGAAAUAGCUUAGCGGUUAAGAGCACUGGCUGAUCUUCCAGAUGACCUGGGUUCAAUUCCCAGCACCC
rnacentral:tRNA from 1 species